UACAGAGGUCUCAAGCGUUGUUCGGAUUCAUUGGGCGUAAAGGGUGUGUAGGUGGCGCCGUAAGUCGGGUGUGAAAUCUCGGGGCUUAACUCCGAAACUGCAUUCGAUACUGCGGUGCUUGAGGACUGGAGAGGAGACUGGAAUUCAUGGUGUAGCAGUGAAAUGCGUAGAGAUCGUGAGGAAGACCAGUGGCGAAGGCGGAUCUCUGGACAGUUCCUGACGCUGAGGCGCGAAGGCCAGGGGAGCAAACGGG
rnacentral:rRNA from 1 species